UCAACAUUUCUUCAGGGUAGUUGUCAGGCACGUUAUUCAGGCAACAUUGUAGAGAUGAACUCUUCUCCAGGCUUAGUGACUGUGGUGCUCUUAAUGCUUGGACGAACCCGUGGAGACUCAGUGAUGCAGACGGAAGGCCCAGUGACCCUUUCAGAAUCAGCUGCCCUGACUAUGAACUGCAAUUAUCCAGCUGCGGGGUACCCCACUUUUUUCUGGUACGUCCAGUACCCCGGAGAAGGUCCACAGCUCCUCCUGAAAGCCUCAAGGGACAAGGAGAAGGUACUCAAGAAAGGUUUUGAAGCCACGUACCACAGAGCACAAACUUCCUUCCACUUGGAGAAAGCCUCAGUCCAAGAGUCAGACUCGGCCGUGUACUACUGUGCUCUGAGUGACACAGUGACAGGAGCUAGCCAAAGUGUGCCAGAGGUGGUGGCAUCUGUAUCAUGUAAUGGGAGGAGAAGUGAGAGGAGAGCUAUCGCCUCCAAAAACCGUGGUCCCUAA